rnacentral:ncRNA from 1 species
GGAAAAGCGAUGAUGAAGAGAGUAGAUAUAUUGUAUUUGUACAGAGAAUGUCCUUUUGGCUGAGAUGGACACGAAGAAGAUAUAUCGAACAUGGCUUCUGAGCAGCGCACCGAGUCAGUGUUAUGACUGAUAAGACUGCGACAGGGUUCGCCCGUUACAGCGACAGGGUAUGCAGUACCCGCAGAGACUUUUGCCGUGAGGCUAAGGUAAAUUAAGGUGGUAACACGGGAUAUAUACUCUCGUCCUUAUA